UACGUAGGGUGCAAGCGUUAAUCGGAAUUACUGGGCGUAAAGCGUGCGCAGGCGGUUGUGCAAGACAGAUGUGAAAUCCCCGGGCUCAACCUGGGAAUUGCAUUUGUGACUGUACGGCUAGAGUGUGUCAGAGGGGGGUAGAAUUCCACGUGUAGCAGUGAAAUGCGUAGAGAUGUGGAGGAAUACCGAUGGCGAAGGCAGCCCCCUGAGAUAACACUGACGCUCAUGCACGAAAGCGUGGGGAGCAAACAGG
rnacentral:rRNA from 1 species